UUGACCCCCCUUUUCUUCCCUCCAAACAAAUCCAGGAGAACAAAGGAACACUGCUAUUCCUGUGUUUAACCCUCUGCCUAAGAGAGGAAAGUAAGAGUGGAUGCAUUACUGAUACAAAAUCAUCCACCAUUACCCCUCAUCACCUGUUUACAAAUAAAAUAUUGGAACUUGGAAGGC